CCUACGGGUGGCUGCAGUGGGGAAUAUUGGACAAUGGGCGAAAGCCUGAUCCAGCCAUGCCGCGUGUGUGAAGAAGGCCUUCGGGUUGUAAAGCACUUUCAGUGGGGAAGAAAGCCUUGGGGCUAAUACCCUCGAGGAAGGACAUCACCCACAGAAGAAGCACCGGCUAACUCCGUGCCAGCAGCCGCGGUAAUACGGAGGGUCCGAGCGUUAAUCGGAAUUACUGGGCGUAAAGCGCGCGUAGGCGGUCUGAUAAGCCGGUUGUGAAAGCCCCGGGCUCAACCUGGGAACGGCAUCCGGAACUGUCAGGCUAGAGUGCAGGAGAGGAAGGUAGAAUUCCCGGUGUAGCGGUGAAAUGCGUAGAGAUCGGGAGGAAUACCAGUGGCGAAGGCGGCCUUCUGGACUGACACUGACGCUGAGGUGCGAAAGCGUGGGUAGCAAACAGGAUUAGAUACCCCAGUAGUC
rnacentral:rRNA from 1 species